rnacentral:rRNA from 1 species
UACGGGGGGAGCAAGCGUUGUUCGGAUUUACUGGGCGUAAAGGGCGCGUAGGCGGCCACCGCAAGUCGAUUGUGAAAUCUCCGGGCUUAACCCGGAAAGGUCAACCGAUACUGCGGGGCUAGAGUGCAGAAGGGGCAACUGGAAUUCUCGGUGUAGCGGUGAAAUGCGUAGAUAUCGAGAGGAACACCUGCGGCGAAGGCAGGUCUCUGGGCCACUACUGACGCUGAGAAGCGAAAGCAUGGGGAGCGAACAGG